rnacentral:rRNA from 1 species
UAGCGAAGGGGGCUAGCGUUGCUCGGAAUCACUGGGCGUAAAGGGUGCGUAGGCGGGUCUUUAAGUCAGGGGUGAAAUCCUGGAGCUCAACUCCAGAACUGCCUUUGAUACUGAAGAUCUUGAGUUCGGGAGAGGUGAGUGGAACUGCGAGUGUAGAGGUGAAAUUCGUAGAUAUUCGCAAGAACACCAGUGGCGAAGGCGGCUCACUGGCCCGAUACUGACGCUGAGGCACGGAAAGCGUGGGGAGCAAACAGG